GACGAACGCUGGCGGCGUGCCUAAUACAUGCAAGUAGAACGCUGAAGAGAGGAGCUUGCUCUUCUUGGAAGAGUUGCGAACGGGUGAGUAACGCGUAGGUAACCUGCCUUGUAGCGGGGGAUAACUAUUGGAAACGAUAGCUAAUACCGCAUAACAAUGGGUGACCCAUGUCAUUCAUUUGAAAGGGGCAACUGCUCCACUACAAGAUGGACCUGCGUUGUAUUAGCUAGUAGGUGAGGUAACGGCUCACCUAGGCGACGAUACAUAGCCGACCUGAGAGGGUGAUCGGCCACACUGGGACUGAGACACGGCCCAGACUCCUACGGGAGGCAGCAGUAGGGAAUCUUCGGCAAUGGGGGCAACCCUGACCGAGCAACGCCGCGUGAGUGAAGAAGGUUUUCGGAUCGUAAAGCUCUGUUGUAAGUCAAGAACGAGUGUGAGAGUGGAAAGUUCACACUGUGACGGUAGCUUACCAGAAAGGGACGGCUAACUACGUGCCAGCAGCCGCGGUAAUACGUAGGUCCCGAGCGUUGUCCGGAUUUAUUGGGCGUAAAGCGAGCGCAGGCGGUUUGAUAAGUCUGAAGUUAAAGGCUGCGGCUCAACCAUAGUUCGCUUUGGAAACUGUCAAACUUGAGUGCAGAAGGGGAGAGUGGAAUUCCAUGUGUAGCGGUGAAAUGCGUAGAUAUAUGGAGGAACACCGGUGGCGAAAGCGGCUCUCUGGUCUGUAACUGACGCUGAGGCUCGAAAGCGUGGGGAGCGAACAGG
rnacentral:rRNA from 1 species